GAUGAACGCUGGCGGCGUGCUUAACACAUGCAAGUCGAACGGGAUCCAAGGGGUGCUUGCACUUUUUGGUGAGAGUGGCGAACGGGUGAGUAACACGAGAGUAACCUGUCCUUUUCUUUGGGAUAGCAUUCGAAAGGGUGUUUAAUACCUUAUGUUCUGUCUGCCUCGCAUGGGGUGGGUGGGAAAGGCUUUGGCCGGAUUUGGGUGGGCUCGCGGUCUAUCAGCUUGUUGGUGGGGUGAUGGCUUACCAAGGCUUUGACGGGUAGCCGGCCUGAGAGGGGGGUCGGUCACAUUGGGACUGAGAUACGGCCCAGACUCCUGCGGGAGGCAGCAGUGGGGGAUAUUGCACAAUGGGCGAAAGCCUGAUGCAGCGACGCCGCGUGGGGGAUGAAGGCCUUCGGGUUGUAAACUUCUUUUGCUCUGAACAAGGCAUGCCAGUGGGUGUGUUGAGUGUAGGGGUUGAUUAGCGCCGGCUAACUACGUG
rnacentral:rRNA from 1 species